ensembl:lncRNA
GCUAUGGAUGCAACUGAUUUGCUGUGGGCCAGGGCCUUCAAAAGUUGAGACCCUUUGACAAAAAAGUGUGUCAUCUGGCCUUAGUGUUGGUUGCUAAGCAACCAUCUGCCAAGGAAUCACUGACAGUCUAGCCUGACCCCAGGAGGCAGUGGCAGCUGAGCCUGAUGCCCAGUGACCCUGGGCUGGUCCCUUCCUCACUCAGGGUUCCAGUUUUUGCAUCACCAUCAGAGCAGCUCCCAGGACCUUGCCAAGGCCAAAGGAACCACAGGGGGGGUGAGGAGGGUGUCACAAUGAAUUAUGGCUUCAAGGGCUCCCUGUCCUGCAGCUAAUGCAAGGAAGAGAGCUGGGGGUCUCCAAGGCCCCAGUCGGGCAAGGAUUUCCUGGAAUCUCACAAAAAGAGCUGGGGGCUAAUGCUGUUAUUUAAUAAUCUGUCAUUACCAGUAACGCAGCCUUGGCCCCUGCUGCUGUCCUACCCGAAGGCUCUCCUCUGAGAGCCUGUGUGGAGCAUUCCCUCGGCUCCUGCAAAUCAGCUGAACUUGCGCCUCCUCUAGGUGGCCACCCAGCCACCCCAUUUCACAUCGUUGCCUGCACCCCCCUAACUCCACACUCCCAAACCCGCCACCUCACCCCCAUUUGUUUUCUUCCUCACUGUGGUACUUACCACCUCCCAUAAUAUGUAAUUUAUUUUCUUUAAUAUGCUUAUUUCCUGUUUCUUAUCUGUCUCCCAUACAAGAGGCCAAGGUGCCCAAGGGCAGAGAUUGGGAAUGAUUUGUGAUGGUGCCCAGAAUGGUGCCUGGUACAUAGCAGGCCCUCAGCAAAUACUUGCAGGAGAACAGAAUGAAUGAAUCAUCAGUCAAAACACAUCAUGAUAGCUUCCAUUCCCUGAGUGCUACCUAGGUGCCUGGCACCGGGGUGUGCCUUUUUACAGGCAUUAUCUUACUCUUGCUCAUAGAAAGUGUAUUUUUUAUGGCUGUUUUAUGAAAGGACACUGAAGUCCUGGAGGUACAGGUACAACGAACACACCAAAGCCACCCAGCCACAAAGUGGAAAAGCUGAGCCUCAAACCAGGGUCUGCUUGAUGGCAAAGUCUGCUCGGAACUGGGACCCAGUCCUAUCAAGUACAACGACGACAAUAGUGACAGGGGUGACAGCAGCAGCCAGCAUCUCUCAGGUACUUCCUCUGAGCUGGAGUGACCUCACUUGAUCCUCACAGCAGUCCUAUGAGGCAGGGGGUACUCCCACCCCCCACUUAUGGAUGACAACAUGGAAGUUUGGUAAAUGUGGGAAGCUGGCUCAAGGUCCCUUGGCUGGCAUGGACAAGGUGGGGUUGAUUCAGAUAGAUGGUGACCUUGGAUAUGCCCACCAUGGUGUCUGCACCUCUGCACCUUGAGGCGAUGAGGGAAUCGCCUUCCCAGGGUGCUGUGCAUUCCCUAAGGAGGCACAUGGGGAGCCAAGACCCCAGGAUCCUAGCCGGGGAAUUUGAGGAAGGACGAAACGAGCAGUACAAGCGGCAAAGCUUGGUGGCCUCGGGCGGGGUGCAAGUCGCAGACCAUCCACUUUUAGAACAGAGGUCUUGAGCAAUCUCAAAACCCCCCCGAGCCUGCUCUCCCUCACCUGCAAUGUGAGUGAACCCCCAGGAGUGCAAGGUAAGCGUCUGUGUGCUGGGUGUGUGGGCACAGCCUGGACGUGAGAAGGUAGGUCUCUUCCUAAUCUCAGCCACAAAGACAAAGGCACAAACCAAAGCCUUUAAAGGAAGGCAGCAGCCAUGCAUCAGGACAAAUACUAUCUGAGCCUGGUGUCCUAAUUUCUAACUGCAAUUCUUCCCCAGGACCUAACACUGAAUGGCUGCAUCCUGGGCUGAGGGCUCACACACCAGAGGCCAGCUUAUUUUCUGCUCAUGGCCCCCUGGUAGUUGUCAUUAACCCCAUUUUACACAAAGGCAAAGGAAGGCUCAGAAAGAGUUACAAACAUGCCCACCUCCCGGAGGCCCUACCAGUGCUGGAAGUGGACAAAUCACAUCCCAGUGCCCUGCCCACAGAAUCCUUUGCCUUCUGAGGGUCACUCAGCUUCUAACUGGUGUGUGGCCUGUGACCAGCCUCUAUUCCUCUCUGGACCUCACUUUCCCAGUCUGCACCAGGUGGGAGGUUUCCCAGCUUCAGAAAGGUUUUCCAAAACUUCUUUUUCUUUUCUGUUGCAGUGUCCUCUUCAUUUUCACCAUUCCUCUGUCGUUACAGGGUUUUUCAAAAACAUAUUUAUUUCAGGGUUGUUCCGGCCAAAGAGCUUAUUUUUAAUGAGCAAUUCCCAAAUUUGCAGCAUCUUUUGAUUGAUGGGACUUUUCCUUAAUGGCCAGUUGAAUUUUUUUUUUUUUAAUUGAAGUGUAGCUGAUUAACAAUGUGAUUGACAGGACUAUUGCAUAUUCUUUGGAUGGUAUCAAACUUUUCUACACUUUCUUUUUCACCAAUUUGUCUGAAGACCUUUUCUUCCAAUGUUUACCUUUCAGCCCUAGAGGCUCACGGGCUACAGCCCAGCCACUGCCAUCAGACCCAUCACAGACAGAGGGUAGCGAGGCUGCGUCUGGCUUUGCAUUUCAUGGUUCUACUGCACAGGAUGAACUAGAGGUCUUGAAACAUGAUAACGUCCUGUGG